UACGGAGGGUGCAAGCGUUGUCCGGAAUCACUGGGCGUAAAGGGCGCGUAGGCGGCUCAUAAAGGCUGUGGUGAAAGUUCGGGGCUCAACCUCGAAUCGGCCGUGGCGACUUGUGGGCUGGAGCACUGUAGAGGCAGGUGGAAUUCCGGGUGUAGCGGUGGAAUGCGUAGAGAUCCGGAAGAACACCAGUGGCGAAGGCGGCCUGCUGGGCAGUGGCUGACGCUGAGGCGCGACAGCGUGGGGAGCAAACAGG
rnacentral:rRNA from 1 species